UGGGGAAUCAUGGUCAAUGGGCGAAAGCCUGAACCUGCGACGCCGCGUGAGUGAUGAAGGUCGUAAGAUCGUAAAACUCUUUUCAGGGAUCUUAAAGCACAACCGUCAACAACGGCUGUGUGUGACUCUCCCUGGAAGAAGCCCCAGCCAACUACGUGCCAGCAGCUGCGGUAAUACGUAGGGGGCGAGCGUUAUUCGGAAUUACUGGGUGUAAAGGGUAUGUAGGCGGCCCUUCAAGUCGCGUGUCAAAGUCCAGUGCUCAACGCUGGGUGUGCGCGCGAUACUGACGGGCUUGAGGGCUGGAGAGGUGAUCGGAAUGCCCGGUGUAGUAGUAAAAUACGUAGAGAUCGGGAGGAACACCAGCGGCGCAGGCGGCUCACUAGACAGUUUCUGACGCUAAGAUACGAAAGCGUGGGGAGCAAACA
rnacentral:rRNA from 1 species